rnacentral:rRNA from 1 species
UACGUAGGCAGCAAGCGUUGUUCGGGGUUACUGGGCGUAAAGGGUGUGUAGGCGGUUCUUUAAGUUUGGUGUGAAAUCUCCCGGCUCAACUGGGAGGGUGCGCCGAAUACUGAGGGACUAGAGUACGGGAGAGGAAAGUGGAAUUCCUGGUGUAGCGGUGAAAUGCGUAGAUAUCAGGAGGAACACCGGUGGUGUAGACGGCUUUCUGGACCGACACUGACGCUGAGACACGAAAGCGUGGGUAGCAAACAGG